rnacentral:sRNA from 1 species
GCUGGGUGCAGUGGCCCAUGCCUGUGAUCUCAGCGGCUCAGGAGGCUGAGGCAGGAGGAUCACGAGUUCAAAGCCAUCCUCAACAAAAGCAAGGUGCUAAGCAACUCAGUGAGACCCUGUCUCUA